rnacentral:rRNA from 1 species
GAUGAACGCUGGCGGCGUGCCUAAUACAUGCAAGUCGAGCGAACAGACGAGGAGCUUUCUCCUCUGACGUUAGCGGCGGACGGGAGAUUAACACGUGGAUAACCUACCUAUAAGACUGGGAUAACUUCGGGAAACCGGAGCUAAUACCGGAUAAUAUAUUGAACCUCAUUGUUCAAUAGUGAAAGACGGUUUUGCUGUCACUUAUAGAUGGAUCCGCGCCGCAUUAGCUAGUUGUUAAGGUAACGGCUUACCAAGGCAACGAUGCGUAGCCGACCCGAGAGGGUGAUCCGCCACACUGGCACUGAGACACGGCCCAGACUCCUACGGGAGGCAGCAGCAGGGAAUCUUCCGCAAUGGGCGAAAGCCUGACGGAGCAACGCCGCGUGAGUGAUGAAGGUCCUCGGAUCGUAAAACUCUGUUAUUAGUGAAGAACAAAUGUGUAAGUAACUAUGCACGUCUUGACGGUACCUGAUCAAAAAGCCCCGGCUAACUACGUG